rnacentral:rRNA from 1 species
CCCCUGGGACUGAAACCCGGCCCAGAUUCCUACGGGAGGCAGCAGUGGGAAUAUGGACAAUGGCGAAAGCCUGAUCCAGCAAUACCGAGUGAGUGAUGAAGGCCUUAGGGUUGUAAAGCUCUUUUAGCAAGGAAGAUAAUGACGUUACUUGCAGAAAAAGCCCCGGCUAACUCCGUGCCAGCAGCCGCGGUAAGACGGAGGGGGCUAGCGUUGUUCGGAAUUACUGGGCGUAAAGAGUGCGUAGGCGGUUUAGUAAGUUGGAAGUGAAAGCCCGGGGCUUAACCUCGGAAUUGCUUUCAAAACUACUAAUCUAGAGUGUAGUAGGGGAUGAUGGAAUUCCUAGUGUAGAGGUGAAAUUCUUAGAUAUUAGGAGGAACACCGGUGGCGAAGGCGGUCAUCUGGGCUACAACUGACGCUAAUGCACGAAAGCGUGGGGAGCAAACAGGAUUAGAUACCCUGGUAGUCCACGCCGUAAACGAUGAGUGCUAGAUGUCGGAAGAUUCUCUUUCGGUUUCGCAGCUAACGCAUUAAGCACUCCGCCUGGAGAGUACGGUCGCAAGAUUAAAACUCAAAGGAAUUGACGGGGGCUCGCACAAGCGGUGGAGCAUGCGGUUUAAUUCGAUGUUACGCGAAAAACCUUACCAACCCUUGACAUGGUGGUCGCGGAUCGCAGAGAUGCUUUCCUUCAGCUCGGCUGGGACCGCACACAGGUGUUGCACGGCUGUCGUCAGCUCGUGUCGUGAGAUGUUGGGUUAAGUCCCGCAACGAGCGCAACCCUCAUUCUUAUUUGCCAGCGGGUAAUGCCGGGAACUAUAAGAAAACUGCUGGUGAUAAGCCAGAGGAAGGUGGGGACGACGUCAAGUCAUCAUGGCCCUUACGGGUUGGGCUACACGCGUGCUACAAUGGUGUUUACAGAGGGAAGCAAGACGGCGACGUGGAGCAAAUCCCUAAAAGACAUCUCAGUUCGGAUUGUUCUCUGCAACUCGAGAGCAUGAAGUUGGAAUCGCUAGUAAUCGCGGAUCAGCAUGCCGCGGUGAAUACGUUCUCGGGCCUUGUACACACUGCCCGUCACGCCAUGGGAGUUGGUUUUACCUGAAGGUGGUGAGCUAACGCAAGAGGCAGCCAACCACGGUAAAAUUAGCGCCUGGGGGAGUCGCUCUUACGAGCAAAAACAAAAAGACAAC